UGUUGACAGUGGGCUGGGUUUGGCCUGGUCAUUAGGUGUGGAACUCCCGGCUUGUGGUAAAUCCUGAUUGGAAAACAGUAUAAACAUAUUUCCUGGUAAAUGGGUAAACAUAUAGAGAGAUGGUGGUUGUUCCCCUCCCGUCACCAGCACACCGUAGAAGCAAUUGGAAGCAAUUUAGGUGUGCUCAGCAUCUGGCCCUCAUAAAAGGCCUCGAGUGAGUCAUGAUUUUGCACCAACAGAGAAGGCUUGUCUCGCUUGUGGAGAGAAUUGUAUUUGCCUCCCAUUUUGCCUAUGAAUCUCUCCACUGCUUUAUGAUGAUCAGUCUGAUUUGUGUGCCGAGAGACUGGUCCUGUGAGCUUGGUUGGGUCAGGGGUCACCCAGAAAAUAACCACCUUCCACUUCCUUUAAUUAUGCAAACUAGAGCGAGGUGACUGAGAUCUUGCCUCUGGUCUGCAAGACACAGGGAGUUUUGCAAGCCCCAGGGAGUGCAGAAUUUCCUGAAGAUGUUGCACAGGGGCUGGCUUUUGCUGAAGUCGUACAGUAUUCUCCUUUGCUUUGGUUAUGACUGCAGAGGUGCUGGGAAGCCGACUGGAGAGCAGCACCAUGGAGCGGCCGGCUCCUCUCCGUGGGAGGCGCCGCCCGCUCUUUGAGAGGGAAGGGCUCGGCUCUGCUGCCUUGGGCUAAAAGCACUGUGAUCCAGUUCCACCUCCUGGCUCCUUCAUUGGUAAUUGGUUUUCCAAAAUGCAAGGAUUUUUGCUGACCAACAGGGACCUGAAGGCUUGAAAAUUUAGACAGCAGAGAGCUAGGUGGCUGAGAUUUUACAAAAGUCCGUAUUUUGCUAGUUUAAUCUGGGAAAGGACGCACAACCCAAAGAAUAGGAGCCUUGUUGCAGAAGAACCAAUUUCAUUCACCAGGGUAUUUUACCAGUAGUCGCGCUGGGCACCUGGCUAGGCAGUCACCGCCCCAUGCUUCUCAGCUCCAGGCGGAGCUGCAGCGGGAGGAGAGCCUGGACGUGCUGCCAUCCCGGGAGCCGGGCCCGACUCGCUCAGGCCUUUCUAGACCCAUUUCAGGUGAGUCACCCCUGCUCCCCACGCCCCCUCAGCCCAGCAGAGGUGACCUGGCCCUCCUUCCUCCUUUUUUCCUACCAGGGCCUCUGACGUGAGGCUAUUAGCCAUUCAGACUUCACACUGUAGCCCUUUCCUUGCAUCUCGGGAAAUCUUUAAAUGAGCAGGCAGAUUACCUAGUCUCUGGACAGAACCAUAAGCACAAGACACUGCGUGAUAUGUUACAGAGACUCCACUAAGUAUAGUAAGUCUGCUGGGGUUUUCAAGGGUUUGAGAAUCUCAAGGUGAUGGAAUUAUUCAAAGGGCAAGAUUUUUUUUAAGUCUCCAUUCUCUGAGUAUAACAGCGUAUGAACUAGUUCCUGAAGUA
rnacentral:lncRNA from 1 species